UAGUGAGGUAGGGUAGGUGUUGUUUUUUAAUUGGAGGGAUAAGGGUUAGGUGUCUAUUUUUGUUUGAGUAGGUUGAUAGGAUGAGAUGUAAAGGGGUUAGGAUUGGAUAGAAUUUGUUAGGGAGUUUGUUAUUAUUAUUUUUUAUUAUUUUGUGAGGGUAUAAUAACAUGGAUGAGGGUACAUGGUAGGAUAAGGUAAAAUUG
rnacentral:lncRNA from 1 species